rnacentral:rRNA from 1 species
GACAGAGGGUGCAAACGUUGCUCGGAAUCACUGGGCGUAAAGGGUGCGUAGGCGGCUCUUUAAGUCAGUGGUGAAAUACUGCAGCUCAACUGUAGCAUUGCCAUUGAUACUGAAGAGCUUGAGUACAGAUGAGGUAGGCGGAAUUUAUGGUGUAGCGGUGAAAUGCAUAGAUACCAUAAAGAACACCGAUUGCGAAGGCAGCUUACUAAGCUGUAACUGACGCUGGAGGCACGAAAGCGUGGGGGAGCGAACAGG